UGUUCAUUGCGAUGGGGGGACGGAGAAGGCUAGGUGAGCCGGGCGUUGGUAGUCCCGGUGAAAGUGCGUAGGCUGAGGACUUAGGUAAAUCCGGGUCCUUAAGGCCGAGACACGAGACGAGCACCCACGGGUGCGAAGUCAUUGAUGCCAUGCUUCCGGGAAAAGCCUCUAAGCUUCAGAUGAACAUUGACCGUACCCCAAACCGACACAGGUGGUCAGGUAGAGAAUACUAAGGCGCUUGAGAGAACUCGGGUGAAGGAACUAGGCAAAAUAGUACCGUAACUUCGGGAGAAGGUACGCCACUGGCGGUGAUUGACUUCGCGUCAUGAGCUGUUGGUGGUCGCAGUGACCAGGUGGCUGGGACUGUUUAUUAAAAACACAGCACUGUGCUAACACGAAAGUGGACGUAUACGGUGUGACACCUGCCCGGUGCCGGAAGGUUAAUUGAUGGGGUUAGUUUUCGGACGAAGCUCUUGAUCGAAGCCCCGGUAAACGGCGGCCGUAACUAUAACGGUCCUAAGGUAGCGAAAUUCCUUGUCGGGUAAGUUCCGACCUGCACGAAUGGUGUAACCAUGGCCACGCUGUCUCCACCCGAGACUCAGUGAAAUUGAAAUCGCAGUGAAGAUGCUGUGUACCCGCGGCUAGACGGAAAGACCCCGUGAACCUUUACUACAGCUUGGCACUGAACAUUGAACCUACAUGUGUAGGAUAGGUGGGAGGCUUUGAAGCAUUGGCGCUAGUUGAUGUGGAGCCAUCCUUGAAAUACCACCCUUGUAUGUUUGAUGUUCUAACAUUGGCCCCUUAUCGGGGUUGUGGACAGUGCCUGGUGGGUAGUUUGACUGGGGCGGUCUCCUCCCAAAGAGUAACGGAGGAGCACGAAGGUUGGCUAAGUACGGUCGGACAUCGUACGGUUAGUGCAAUGGCAGAAGCCAGCUUAACUGCGAGACAGACACGUCGAGCAGAUACGAAAGUAGGUCAUAGUGAUCCGGUGGUUCUGAAUGGAAGGGCCAUCGCUCAACGGAUAAAAGGUACUCCGGGGAUAACAGGCUGAUACCGCCCAAGAGUUCAUAUCGACGGCGGUGUUUGGCACCUCGAUGUCGGCUCAUCACAUCCUGGGGCUGAAGUCGGUCCCAAGGGUAUGGCUGUUCGCCAUUUAAAGUGGUACGCGAGCUGGGUUUAGAACGUCGUGAGACAGUUCGGUCCCUAUCUGCCGUGGGCGUUUGAGAGUUGAGAGGAGCUGCUCCUAGUACGAGAGGACCGGAGUGGACGAACCGCUGGUGUUCGGGUUGUCAUGCCAAUGGCACUGCCCGGUAGCUACGUUCGGAAUCGAUAACCGCUGAAAGCAUCUAAGCGGGAAGCGAGCCUCGAGAUAAGCUCUCACUAGCACUCAGAGUGCUCUGAAGGGUCGUUGAAGACGACAACGUUGAUAGGCGGGGUGUGGAAGCGUAGUAAUGCGUUGAGCUAACCCGUACUAAUUGCCCGUGAGACUUAACCAU
rnacentral:rRNA from 1 species